UUCCCUGCGGCCUGCCCUUUCACCAGCGCUGACACAUCCCAGUUGUCAGUUACUGUCCUGUGGCCAAGCCCAUGCUGUCUACUUACACAAAGCCACUGGGCAGGGCAAAGUUCACAGCUCAGUCAGCCUCAGAGACAGAGAAAGAAGCAAGGGGCUGAGAGGAGAGGCCGCCCAGGUGCAGGGAGAAGGAAAGGCUCCAGCUGGCUCAUGGAUUCAAACCCAGGAUCUUCUUGCUGUGAGGCGACGGUGCAAACCAGCAGAGCACCAUGCCACCUGCACAAAGAGGUCAAAUUCAAGUGUGGCAUGAGAACUCAUAGACGUGACAGCUGAUCUCACUGAAACAAAGUCUCUCUUGUUUUUCUGUUGUUUUUCACUUUGAACAGUGUCUUCAGCGUGCGAGGCAGGCUGUGUACACAGCAGCUGAUCCACUGUGCACUCGUUUGGUCUUAUAGAAUAUCACAGAACUCCAAAUAUAUUCUGGUUUUUUUCUGCUUGCAUUCUGUUACACACCAAAGCUCAGUGUGUACAUGCUAACAAAUGUCUCGUGUAAGUCUUCUCCAACACUGGAGAGCACAUUGUUUUUGAUCCAGGAUUGUUUACAUGGAUUUCUACCAGCUAGCUGCCUUCAUGCAUGCUGCAUCUAGCUGGCUUUUUUUUUCUUUCUUUUUUUUGCUUUUCAUUGGAAGAGUGACAACGUGUCCCCUGCAUCUACUCACAUGCAUGUAUUCUUGUCCACAAGAAGUAUUACCAGAGGAAUUUCACACUGCAUUAAGAUAUUGUAUCAAAUCCUGGACAGCACUACUUCUGCAUGUAAGUCCCUCAAUAAAGCCACAGCAUAUAAUUUCCCAUCACUAUCAUAUACACUGGAUGGAGGUAAUAUUGCCCUAAAACAGAAUAAUCUCUUCAGGAAUCAGGAGAUGUUUCAUCAGGUCUAAGAAACUUAUUUUCUUAUUGAUUCACAGCGAGUUUUCCUUCUCCAGGGAGCAUUUUGGGAAGUGUAGCUAAAUCCUUCCAGCCAAAUAGACCCCAAAGAAUAAAAGUAUCUCCUAAAUGUAGGAGUUAAGGCAGGGCUGUCAAACAAAAGGCCCAUGGGCCAGAAUUGGCCUGGCAAAGACUCCAAUCUGGCCACUGGAUCGCUUUUGAAAAUGGGAAGGAGGGCAGAAAUUUUGGACUUUUAACCAUAUUUUUUCAUUUUACAGGUUUUCCUGCUAAUAUAUCCCUCCACUGUGAACAUUGAAACAUCUAAAUAUUUAAGAAAUAUUUAAUUGUAUUUAUUUUUUACAAUCUAAGCCCCAAAACAGUCCUGCUGACACUUUUUUUUUUUUCAUCUAUUGCAGCAACAUUUCUUUACCAUGUGGAAAAAAGUAAGACAUACUUGGUCCGACC
ensembl:lncRNA